rnacentral:misc_RNA from 1 species
AAGUCGUAACAAGGUUUCCGUAGGUGAACCUGCGGAAGGAUCAUUACAUUUAGUAGCCUAGCUGCUAUCAGUGGGGUUCGUUAGCCUGCAUAGCUUAAUCGCUGAUGAGCAGCAGACCCCUGUUUGUACCUUGUUUUUAGUGCGUACCUCAAAAUGGUUUUUCCCCCGUUUCCGGGGGCCGGGGGGCCUUUUGGCUCGCCGGAUGGACAAAUACUUAUAACCUUUUUAAUAUUCAAUCAAGCGUCUGAAAACUUGAAUAAUUACAA